rnacentral:tRNA from 1 species
GGGGCUGUAGCUCAGUGGCAGAGCGCUUGCUUAGCAUGUGUGAGGCACUGGGUUCGAUUCUCAGCACCA